GGCCCGCACAAGCGGAGGAACAUGUGGUUUAAUUCGAUGCUACGCGAGGAACCUUACCCGGGCUUGAAAGUUAGCGACGGAGGAUGAAAGUCCUCUUCCCUUCGGGGCGCGAAACUAGGUGCUGCAUGGUUGUCGUCAGCUCGUGCCGUGAGGUGUCGGCUUAAGUGCCUUAACGAGCGCAACCCUUUUCUCCAGUUGCCAGCGCGUCGUGGCGGGGACUCUGGAGACACUGCCAUCGCAAGAUGCGAGGAAGGAUGGGAUGACGUCAAAUCAGCACGGCCCUUACGUCCGGGGCGACACACGUGUUACAAUGGGCAGGACAGCAAGGAACGAAGCGGCGACGCUGAGGGAAUCUCGAAACCUGCUCCCAGUUCGGAUCGGAGUCUGCAACCCGACUCCGUGAAGCUGGAUUCGCUAGUAAUCGCGCAUCAGCCAUGGCGCGGUGAAUACGUUCCCGGGC
rnacentral:rRNA from 1 species